UUACGGGGUGCUGCAGUGAGGAAUAUUGCACAAUGGGGGGAACCCUGAUGCAGCAACGCCGCGUGGAGGAUGACGCAUUUCGGUGUGUAAACUCCUUUUAUAUGUCAAGAAAAUGACGGUAGCAUAUGAAUAAGCACCGGCUAACUCCGUGCCAGCAGCCGCGGUAAUACGGAGGGUGCAAGCGUUACUCGGAAUCACUGGGCGUAAAGGACGCGUAGGCGGGUUGGAAAGUCAGGUAUGAAAUCCUACAGCUUAACUGUAGAACUGCACUUGAAACUUCUAAUCUAGAGUAUGGGAGGGGGAGAUGGAAUUAGUGGUGUAGGGGUAAAAUCCGUAGAUAUCACUAGGAAUACCUAAAGCGAAGGCGAUCUCCUGGAACAUUACUGACGCUAAGGCGUGAAAGCGUGGGGAGCAAACAGGAUUAGAUACCCCGGUAGUC
rnacentral:rRNA from 1 species